UACGGAGGAUUCAAGCGUUAUCCGGAUUUACUGGGUGUAAAGGGAGCGUAGACGGCACUGCAAGUCUGGAGUGAAAGCCCGGGGCCCAACCCCGGGACUGCUCUUGGAACUGCGUGGCUGGAGUGCAGGAGGGGCAGGCGGAAUUCCUGGUGUAGCGGUGAAAUGCGUAGAUAUCAGGAGGAACACCGGUGGCGAAGGCGGCCUGCUGGACUGCAACUGACGUUGAGGCCCGAAAGCGUGGGGAGCAAACAGG
rnacentral:rRNA from 1 species